UACGGAGGGUGCAAGCGUUGUUCGGAAUUACUGGGCGUAAAGAGCUUGUAGGCGGCUUGCUAAGUCCGAUGUGAAAGCCCUCGGCUCAACCGGGGAAGUGCAUUGGAUACUGGCGAGCUUGAGUAUGGGAGAGGAGAGCGGAAUUCCCGGUGUAGAGGUGAAAUUCGUAGAUAUCGGGAGGAACACCAGUGGCGAAGGCGGCUCUCUGGACCAAUACUGACGCUGAGAAGCGAAAGCGUGGGGAGCAAACAGG
rnacentral:rRNA from 1 species